GUAGGUGGCAAGCGUUGUCCGGAAUUAUUGGGCGUAAAGCGCGUGCAGGCGGUUCUUUAAGUCUGAUGUGAAAGCCCACGGCUCAACCGUGGAGGGUCAUUGGAAACUGGAGAACUUGAGUACAGAAGAGGAAAGCGGAAUUCCACGUGUAGCGGUGAAAUGCGUAGAGAUGUGGAGGAACACCAGUGGCGAAGGCGGCUUUCUGGUCUGUAACUGACGCUGAGGCGCGAAAGCGUGGGGAGCAAACAGGGAUUAGAUACCCUGGUAGUCCACGCCGUAAACGAUGAGUGCUAAGUGUUAGGGGGUUUCCGCCCCCUUAGUGCUGCAGCUAACGCAUUAAGCACUCCGCCUGGGGAGUACGGCCGCAAGGCUG
rnacentral:rRNA from 1 species